rnacentral:lncRNA from 1 species
ACAAAGAUGAACCAUGAGGGAUAGAUGCCAUCUGCAAGAUAGUAGCCUAUUGUGUACUCAUGGCCAUUGACUUUCCAAGUUCACAGGUGGACCUUUGGAGGACAUUGAUGUCAUUGUGAGAGCCAGGCAACCCAAAGAAUGCAUGCCAAAUCAAUAAAUUAUGUGAUGCAACUACCUAGUGAUUUACUAAAAUGAUUCUUGGACCAUGACAAUGCCCAGUGAAUUACCCAUGCCAUGUUGCAGGAUAAUUCUUCC